rnacentral:rRNA from 1 species
UACGGAGGGAGCUAGCGUUGUUCGGAAUUACUGGGCGUAAAGCGCACGUAGGCGGUUAUUCAAGUCAGAGGUGAAAGCCCGGAGCUCAACUCCGGAACUGCCUUUGAAACUAGAUAACUUGAAUCCAGGAGAGGUGAGUGGAAUUCCGAGUGUAGAGGUGAAAUUCGUAGAUAUUCGGAAGAACACCAGUGGCGAAGGCGGCUCACUGGACUGGUAUUGACGCUGAGGUGCGAAAGCGUGGGGAGCAAACAGG